rnacentral:rRNA from 1 species
UCGAGGGAGAACCAUUCGAUCCGUAAGGACCGAAUGGGGAAACCGGCGAACGGGUGCGUAACACGUGAGGAACCUGCCCCGAAGACCGGGAUAGCCCGAGGAAACUCGGAUUAAUACCGGAUACCCUCUUUGGACCACAUGGUCCGCUGAGGAAACGGUCCGCCGCUUCGGGAUGGCCUCGCGGCCUAUCAGCUUGUUGGUGAGGUAACGGCUCACCAAGGCAAAGACGGGUAGCUGGUCUGAGAGGACGAUCAGCCACACUGGGACUGAGACACGGCCCAGACUCCUACGGGAGGCAGCAGCAGGGAAUAUUGCACAAUGGGCGAAAGCCUGAUGCAGCGACACCGCGUGCGGGAUGAAGGCCCUCGGGUUGUAAACCGCUUUCAGGAGGGACGAAAAUGACGGUACCUCCAGAAGAAGGCCCGGCCAACUACGUGCCAGCAGCCGCGGUAAUACGUAGGGGCCAAACGUUGUCCGGAUUUAUUGGGCGUAAAGGGCUCGUAGGCGGUUCAACAAGUCGAUCGUGAAAGCCCGGGGCUCAACCCCGGGACGCCGGUCGA